CAAAUGUUGUUUCGUUCCUUCACCGAGAAUAAAACGGAAACGGAGCGCGUAAACGUGUCCGCCCCACAGGCCCAACACAACGUUGUAAUAAAACGGAAUCACAGUGGGCAAGGGUUUUUUACCCGUUAAAAACCUAACGUCGAUUUAUCCUACUUUCUUCCGGAGAAGCUCACUCACUCUCUUACAAAUUACUGCUAUAAUUUCUCUUGUUGUGUAUAGCAGCAGCACAUCACACGAAAAUAAAAUGUUCUGUCGAUCGUGUUAGGGUUUUUUGUGGUGGCGCGUGUGUGAAUUCAGCAUGGCUACCACCAGUCAGGCGAUCCGUUAUCCAGUUGCAACCACCGGUGCCGGAAAUAUUGAUGCUCUCAAUAGAGUUCUUGCUGACCUCUGCACCAGAGGCAAUCCUAAGGAUGGAGCUACAUUGGCCUUGAGGCGGCUCGUAGAGGAAGAAGCUCGUGAUCUCAGUGGAGAAGCUUUUGCUCGUUUUAUGGAUCAUCUAUAUGAACGUAUUACUACAUUUCUUGAUAGUAAUGAAGUUUCUGAAAAUCUGGGAGCAUUGAGGGCUAUUGAUGAGCUAAUAGAUGUCACCAUCAGUGAAAAUGCAUCAAAAGUGGCAAAAUUCUCCAAUUACAUGCGAGCUGUUUUUGAAACAAAGCGUGAUCGUGAAAUCUUGGUCCUUGCUAGUAAAGUUCUGGGUCACCUAGCUAGAUCUGGCGGUGCAAUGACUGCAGAUGAAGUGGAACGUCAGGUAAAAGUUGCACUAGGAUGGCUUCGUGGUGAAAGAAUUGAGUAUCGUUUCUUUGCUGCCGUCUUAAUAUUAAAGGAAAUGGCGGAAAAUGCUUCAACUGUUUUCAAUGUUCAUGUGCCGGACUUUGUGGAGGUUAUUUGGGUUGCUCUGAAGGAUCCAACAUUGGCUGUUCGAGAGAAGGCUGUCGAGGCAUUGCGUGCCUGCCUUCGCGUUAUUGAAAAGCGCGAGACCCGAUGGCGUGUUCAGUGGUAUUAUAAGAUGUUUGAGGCUACCCAAGAUGGAUUGACCAGAACUGCGCCUGUUCAUAGUAUACAUGGCUCCCUUCUCGCAGUGGGAGAGCUGCUAAGGGUAGGUACUGAGGCGAGGAAUAACACUGAAGGGUAGGUACUGAGGCGAGGAAUGACUGCAUAAAGAGGGUGGUGGUCAACUGGUUGAGUAAGCUAUAGGAGGACAAAUUUUUCUUUGCUGUAUCGCCAUGUAUGCACUUAUGCUAGUAUGUUCCAUGACUACUAUAGUCUCAAGGAUUUAUUUGCUUAUUAUUUGAGAAUACAGGAGAGUUCAUGAUGUCAAGAUACAGGGAGGUUGCGGAAAUUGUUAUAAGAUACCUGGAGCACCGAGAUCGUCUAGUUCGUCUCAGCAUA